rnacentral:tRNA from 1 species
GCUGGUAUAGCUCAGGAGGUAGAGUGCAUCCUUGGUAAGGAUGAGGUCACGGGUUCAAAUCCCGUUAUCAGCUCCA